rnacentral:lncRNA from 10 species
CGCGGGGCCUGAAGGGAGGGGUUUGGGCGCGGGAGCCGGGCAGGAGAAGACGGAAGUGGAGCGAGGACAAAAUGGCUGCGAAGUAACAUGAGGUGAUAUCUUUCCUGGUUUGACUUUCAUCAAAAAUUAAACGACAGACCAUACCGACGCUUUGAAAACGUGACUGAGCUGGUGCACAAAACAAUGGUGCCUAGAAUUUUGAAUUGUGCAAUGUUGUGCAUGGCCGCGGAUAUGUGGGGCCUUGUGGUUCCAAGAGCCUGUCUCAGGUACCUUGAACACUCCCUGUAUCCUUUCAAGCAGGCGAGGUAGCUGUUAUUCCUAUUUAGUAGAUAAAUAGGCACCGAUGGGGGAAAAGAUUUUUUAAGGCUACACCAAAAGAACUUUUAGUAGCAGGGCUGGAAUUAGAAGGUCUCUAGACUGCGAAAAAGGCUGUCAGAAGAGCGAGGACAUCUUGUCCUUGUCAAAGCCAGUAAAGGGUAGAGACAGACUCAAACAUAUGAAGAA